GAUGAACGCUGGCGGCGUGCCUAAUACAUGCAAGUCGAGCGAACGGACGAGAAGCUUGCUUCUCUGAUGUUAGCGGCGGACGGGUGAGUAACACGUGGAUAACCUACCUAUAAGACUGGGAUAACUUCGGGAAACCGGAGCUAAUACCGGAUAAUAUUUUGAACCGCAUGGUUCAAAAGUGAAAGACGGUCUUGCUGUCACUUAUAGAUGGAUCCGCGCUGCAUUAGCUAGUUGGUAAGGUAACGGCUUACCAAGGCAACGAUACAUAGCCGACCUGAGAGGGUGAUCGGCCACACUGGAACUGAGACACGGUCCAGACUCCUACGGGAGGCAGCAGUAGGGAAUCUUCCGCAAUGGGCGAAAGCCUGACGGAGCAACGCCGCGUGAGUGAUGAAGGUCUUCGGAUCGUAAAACUCUGUUAUUAGGGAAGAACAUAUGUGUAAGUAACUGUGCACAUCUUGACGGUACCUAAUCAGAGAGCCACGGCUAACUACGUGCCAGCAGCCGCGGUAAUACGUAGGUGGCAAGCGUUAUCCGGAAUUAUUGGGCGUAAAGCGCGCGUAGGCGGUUUUUUAAGUCUGAUGUGAAAGCCCACGGCUCAACCGUGGAGGGUCAUUGGAAACUGGAAAACUUGAGUGCAGAAGAGGAAAGUGGAAUUCCAUGUGUAGCGGUGAAAUGCGCAGAGAUAUGGAGGAACACCAGUGGCGAAGGCGACUUUCUGGUCUGUAACUGACGCUGAUGUGCGAAAGCGUGGGGAUCAAACAGG
rnacentral:rRNA from 1 species